rnacentral:rRNA from 1 species
AAAAGAAGCAGAGGGGGCUUAGUGGUGGGGUGACUGCGUACCUUUUGUAUAAUGGGUCAGCGACUUAUAUUCUGUAGCAAGGUUAACCGAAUAGGGGAGCCGGAGGGAAACCGAGUCUUAAUUGGGCGUUAAGUUGCAGGGUAUAGACCCGAAACCCGGUGAUCUAGCCAUGGGCAGGUUGAAGGUUGGGUAACACUAACUGGAGGACCGAACCGACUAAUGUUGAAAAAUUAGCGGAUGACCUGUGGCUGGGGGUGAAAGGCCAAUCAAACCGGGAGAUAGCUGGUUCUCCCCGAAAGCUAUUUAGGUAGCGCCUCGUGAAUUCAUCUCCGGGGGUAGAGCACUGUUUCGGCUAGGGGGCCAUCCCGGCUUACCAACCCGAUGCAAACUGCGAAUACCGGAGAAUGUUAUCACGGGAGACACACGGCGGGUGCUAACGUCCGUCGUGAAGAGGGAAACAACCCAGACCGCCAGCUAAGGUCCCAAAGUCAUGGUUAAGUGGGAAACGAUGUGGGAAGGCCCAGACAGCCAGGAUGUUGGCUUAGAAGCAGCCAUCAUUUAAAGAAAGCGUAAUAGCUCACUGGUCGAGUCGGCCUGCGCGGAAGAUGUAACGGGGCUAAACCAUGCACCGAAGCUGCGGCAGCGACGCUGAUGCGUUGUUGGGUAGGGGAGCGUUCUGUAAGCCUGCGAAGGUGUGUCGUGAGGCAUGCUGGAGGUAUCAGAAGUGCGAAUGCUGACAUAAGUAACGAUAAAGCGGGUGAAAAGCCCGCUCGCCGGAAGACCAAGGGUUCCUGUCCAACGUUAAUCGGGGCAGGGUGAGUCGACCCCUAAGGCGAGGCCGAAAGGCGUAGUCGAUGGGAAACGGGUUAAUAUUCCCGUACUUGGUGUUACUGCGAAGGGGGGACGGAGAAGGCUAUGUUGGCCGGGCGACGGUUGUCCCGGUUUAAGCGUGUAGGUGUGUGUUCCAGGUAAAUCCGGUUCACUUUAACACUGAGGCGUGAUGACGAGGCACUACGGUGCUGAAGCAACAAAUGCCCUGCUUCCAGGAAAAGCCUCUAAGCAUCAGGUAACAUCAAAUCGUACCCCAAACCGACACAGGUGGUCAGGUAGAGAAUACCAAGGCGCUUGAGAGAACUCGGGUGAAGGAACUAGGCAAAAUGGUGCCGUAACUUCGGGAGAAGGCACGCUGACACGUAGGUGAAGUGAUUUACUCAUGGAGCUGAAGUCAGUCGAAGAUACCAGCUGGCUGCAACUGUUUAUUAAAAACACAGCACUGUGCAAACACGAAAGUGGACGUAUACGGUGUGACGCCUGCCCGGUGCCGGAAGGUUAAUUGAUGGGGUCAGCGCAAGCGAAGCUCCUGAUCGAAGCCCCGGUAAACGGCGGCCGUAACUAUAACGGUCCUAAGGUAGCGAAAUUCCUUGUCGGGUAAGUUCCGACCUGCACGAAUGGCGUAAUGAUGGCCAGGCUGUCUCCACCCGAGACUCAGUGAAAUUGAACUCGCUGUGAAGAUGCAGUGUACCCGCGGCAAGACGGAAAGACCCCGUGAACCUUUACUAUAGCUUGACACUGAACAUUGAGCCUUGAUGUGUAGGAUAGGUGGGAGGCUUUGAAGUGUGGACGCCAGUCUGCAUGGAGCCGGCCUUGAAAUACCACCCUUUAAUGUUUGAUGUUCUAACGUGGACCCGUGAUCCGGGUUGCGGACAGUGUCUGGUGGGUAGUUUGACUGGGGCGGUCUCCUCCUAAAGAGUAACGGAGGAGCACGAAGGUUGGCUAAUCCUGGUCGGACAUCAGGAGGUUAGUGCAAUGGCAUAAGCCAGCUUGACUGCGAGCGUGACGGCGCGAGCAGGUGCGAAAGCAGGUCAUAGUGAUCCGGUGGUUCUGAAUGGAAGGGCCAUCGCUCAACGGAUAAAAGGUACUCCGGGGAUAACAGGCUGAUACCGCCCAAGAGUUCAUAUCGACGGCGGUGUUUGGCACCUCGAUGUCGGCUCAUCACAUCCUGGGGCUGAAGUAGGUCCCAAGGGUAUGGCUGUUCGCCAUUUAAAGUGGUACGCGAGCUGGGUUUAGAACGUCGUGAGACAGUUCGGUCCCUAUCUGCCGUGGGCGCUGGAGAACUGAGGGGGGCUGCUCCUAGUACGAGAGGACCGGAGUGGACGCAUCACUGGUGUUCGGGUUGUCAUGCCAAUGGCACUGCCCGGUAGCUAAAUGCGGAAGAGAUAAGUGCUGAAAGCAUCUAAGCACGAAACUUGCCCCGAGAUGAGUUCUCCCUGAGACUUAGAGUCUCCUGAAGGAACGUUGAAGACGACGACGUUGAUAGGCCGGGUGUGUAAGCGCAGCGAUGCGUUGAGCUAACCGGUACUAAUGAACCGUGAGGCUUAACCUUACAACGCCGAA